rnacentral:rRNA from 1 species
AGGAGGUUUGAUCCUGGCCUCAGGGAUGAACGCUAGGGGGCAGGCCUAAACACAUGCAAGUCGAGGGGUAACAUUUUGUGCUGCCACAAAGAUGACGACCGGCGCACGGGUGCGCACCGCGUAUGAAACCUACCUUUUACAGGGGAAUAGCCUUUGGAAACGAAGAUUAAUGCCCCAUGGAACCUUUUGUAGCAUUACGAGAUGGUUAAAGCCUUCGGGCGGUAUAAGAUGGUCAUGCGUCCCAUUAGCUUGAUGGUAAGGUAACGGCUUACCAUGGCUACGAUGGGUAGGGGCCCUGAGAGGGGGAUCCCCCACACUGGUACUGAGACACGGACCAGACUCCUACGGGAGGCAGCAGUGAGGAAUAUUGGACAAUGGAGGAGACUCUGAUCCAGCCAUGCCGCGUGCAGGAAGAAUGCCCUAUGGGUAGUAAACUGCUUUUAUACGGGAAGAAAAAGGGCCACGUGUGGCCUGUUGACGGUACCGUAAGAAUAAGGACCGGCUAACUCCGUGCCAGCAGCCGCGGUAAUAAGGGCGAAUUC